rnacentral:rRNA from 1 species
GGUUAAGCGACUAAGCGUACACGGUGGAUGCCUAGGCAGUCAGAGGCGAUGAAGGACGUGCUAAUCUGCGAUAAGCGUCGGUAAGGUGAUAUGAACCGUUAUAACCGACGAUUUCCGAAUGGGGAAACCCAGUGUGAUUCGUCACACUAUCGUUAAGUGAAUACAUAGCUUAACGAAGCGAACCAGGGGAACUGAAACAUCUAAGUACCCUGAGGAAAAGAAAUCAACCGA